rnacentral:rRNA from 1 species
UACUCCUACGGGAGGCAGCAGUAGGGAAUCUUCCACAAUGGACGCAAGUCUGAUGGAGCAACGCCGCGUGAGUGAAGAAGGCUUUCGGGUCGUAAAACUCUGUUGUUGGAGAAGAAUGGUCGGCAGAGUAACUGUUGUCGGCGUGACGGUAUCCAACCAGAAAGCCACGGCUAACUACGUGCCAGCAGCCGCGGUAAUACGUAGGUGGCAAGCGUUAUCCGGAUUUAUUGGGCGUAAAGCGAGCGCAGGCGGUUUUUUAAGUCUGAUGUGAAAGCCCUCGGCUUAACCGAGGAAGUGCAUCGGAAGCUGGGAAACUUGAGUGCAGAAGAGGACAGUGGAACUCCAUGUGUAGCGGUGAAAUGCGUAGAUAUAUGGAAGAACACCAGUGGCGAAGGCGGCUGUCUGGUCUGUAACUGACGCUGAGGCUCGAAAGCAUGGGUAGCGAACAGGAUUAGAUACCCUGGUAGUCCAUGCCGUAAACGAUGAAUGCUAGGUGUUGGAGGGUUUCCGCCCUUCAGUGCUGCAGCUAACGCAUUAAGCAUUCCGCCUGGGGAGUACGACCGCAAGGUUGAAACUCAAAGGAAUUGACGGA